rnacentral:tRNA from 1 species
AACGAGAUAGUUCAAGCGGCUAGAACACUAGAAUCAUAAUCUAUUAGUUAUAGGUUCAAAUCCUAUUCUCGUUAC